rnacentral:rRNA from 1 species
ACGGAAGGCAGCAGAGGGGAAUAUUGCACAAUGGGGGAAACCCUGAUGCAGCGACGCCGCGUGAGUGAAGAAGUUAUUCGUAAUGUAAAGCUCUAUCAGCAGGGAAGAAAAUGACGGUACCUGACUAAGAAGCCCCGGCUAACUACGUGCCAGCAGCCGCGGUAAUACGGAGGAUGCGAGCGUUAUCCGGAUUUAUUGGGUUUAAAGGGUGCGCAGGCGGGCUGUUAAGUCAGCGGUGAAAUCUCCGGGCUCAACUCGGAAACUGCCGUUGAUACUGGCGGUCUUGAUUCAUGUCGAGGAUGGCGGAAUGCAGCGUGUAGCGGUGAAAUGCUUAGAUACGCUGCAGAACUCCGAUUGCGAAGGCAGCUGUCCAGAGAUGCAAUGACGCUCAGGCACGAAAGCAUGGGGAUCGAACAGGAUUAGAUACCCUGGUA